GCAUAACUAAAAGUGUAUGGUCUAGCAUCUAUGCCUAGGAGCUCUUCAUCAUUAUAGGUGCUUGUACUUUUUCUUCUUUGAAUGACAAAGAAAACCACCAAAACAAGAAGAAAGCUUGCUGCUCCAACCCCAACAACAAUCCCCACAAUUAGACCGGUCCUAUUCUUUUUACUGGUUGGAGGGUUGUUACUGACAGUUGGUAUGAAAUCUGGCUUAGCGCUGAUUGCUGAAAUAGAAGGUCCAUAUGUACCUUGUAAAGGAAUGCAGCAAGUUCCCUUUCCAGCCCAAAACAAAUGUAUUUCAAGGUAAUUUUCAGAUACCUGGGCCGUGAAGUCCUUUUCAACAGCUCGUUUAGAGACUCCACCUGCCUCCUUUCUUAUGUCAAAAUCCUUUAAAACACGAUUCCCCUGGACAUAAACAUCAAAAACACGCCUCCCAAGACUCCUCCACGUGUUACCAUCCUCAAUUGCAGUUUCUGCAAACUGAAGCUUGACAGUGUAAUUGCCAUUCUCAAGCCCCAAACCAUAGUAUCUNNGAUGAAGCAGAGACCCUUGCUGUCUGGAAUAACUCAGAAUCUAAAGUAUUUGUGAAUUGAGAUGA
rnacentral:misc_RNA from 1 species